AGUGAACGCUGGCGGUAGGCCUAACACAUGCCAGUCGAACGGCAGCACAGUAAGAGCUUGCUCUUACGGGUGGCGAGUGGCGGACGGGUGAGGAAUACAUCGGAAUCUACUUUUUCGUGGGGGAUAACGUAGGGAAACUUACGCUAAUACCGCAUACGACCUACGGGUGAAAGCAGGGGAUCUUCGGACCUUGCGCGAUUGAAUGAGCCGAUGUCGGAUUACCUAGUUGGCGGGGUAAAGGCCCACCAAGGCGACGAUCCGUAGCUGGUCUGAGAGGAUGAUCAGCCACACUGGAACUGAGACACGGUCCAGACUCCUACGGGAGGCAGCAGUGGGGAAUAUUGGACAAUGGGCGCAAGCCUGAUCCAGCCAUACCGCGUGGGUGAAGAAGGCCUUCGGGUUGUAAAGCCCUUUUGUUGGGAAAGAAAAGCAGCAGGUUAAUACCCCGCUGUUCUGACGGUACCCAAAGAAUAAGCACCGGCUAACUUCGUG
rnacentral:rRNA from 1 species